ACCGUGUCACAACCACUAGGGUGGUGAAGUCUUGGCCUUGUAUACAAUUGCCCUCUGCUUCAACUUGGAAAACGUGUUGACCGACCUAUGUGGCAUGGACGGUCGAUAAGGCUAGGGUCGUUGCCAUCGUCAAGGACCUGCUUACUAAGACAGAAUGACCCAAGGAUCCAUCUCAGCAUUGAUCGCUAAGCAGAGGAAGAAUUGGAGCAACGGGAAGCAAAAGGAGAAGGUGAACAACACCACGACAAGCUCAUUGCCGAGUUUCCCAAGCGCUUCUGGGUUCAAAGCAAUAUCGGUGUGCAGGCCACAGAUUCCAGUGGGGUGGAUGCUAUGCUCGGCUUUCCAACCGGCUUCCACUACCUCCUUUCCUCUUGCCGCCGUGCGGCCGCGGUGGUGGUGAUGACAUUCAGCCUCGGCGACACCCCACUCCGGUGAGCUCUUCAGGUCAAUGAUGAGCUUACCACUGGUGGCGGUUGUCUCGGACAGAGCCUCUCCGCGCAACCCGGAGUUGUUGCUGAUGGUGAAGGCUCUUGGCGGUGGUGGUGCUGCUUCUGAUGGGCACACCUGAUCCUCCCACGCUUGGCUUGCCCCCAUCAACACGUCACCACCACCCCCUUGACUCCGGUUCUUCUCCACCGAGAGAAAGACCGCCAUAGUACCAGAAGGCUUCCACUAGUUUCACUACUUCCGCUCUCCCUACCGUGCGAAGGAGGCAAGUUUACCGCUACGCAACCGUGGCAAUGGUGGCCUCAUCUUUGACUGCGUGGUUUUGGUGAGUCUCUGGUUCUUCCAUUCUGUCAUGUGCUAUGCACGUCUGCCAUCCGAGGGUUGUCAACUGUCGCGAGAAGAAGUGUGGCCACAAUAAUUAGGUGAGCAGUCUGGUACUUCUACAUGGACUACUUGCAACGGCCAGCGUCAGGUACACUUCCGUGCUCUUCUACAACAAUGCAUUUUUGCUUGUCCUCCGCUGCUCCAGCCCUGGCAUCGGUGCAAAGUUGAUGUUUAUAUGCCCGGUCCUUGGGUAUAUCAAGAAGUGGAUUCCGGUCCUUGGUGUGUCGAGAAUUCCUGCGGCAGCGGCAAUGUCAAUGGUGUCCACCCCUCUGAUGUUGUCCUUCUCGAAGGGUUGGUCUAGUGCUUGGGAGGUUGACGUGUUGAGGAUGACGGGGCACGGCUCUGGUCCACCGCCACAUGGUCUUUCUCUGCAAAGAAAAGGAUUCUGUGCGUGCAGAUUGUGUUGUACAGGGAAAUCACCACAAGAUGGUUUAAAACAGCCAUCCAGGCAUUACCUUCUGAAUUAGGAUUCCUUUUUCUUAUGUAUUCCUUGUGC